rnacentral:rRNA from 1 species
UACGUAGGCAGCGAGCGUUGUUCGGAAUUACUGGGCGUAAAGAGUGUGUAGGCGGUGCUCCCAGUCUGUUGUGAAAUCUCCCGGCUUAACUGGGAGGGUGCAGCGGAAACUAGAGUGCUAGAGGGUGGGAGAGGUAAGCGGAAUUCCUGGUGAAGCGGUGAAAUGCGUAGAUAUCAGGAGGAACACCUGUGGUGUAGACAGCUUACUGGACCACUUCUGACGCUGAGACACGAAAGCGUGGGUAGCAAACAGG